rnacentral:rRNA from 1 species
UACGUAGGUGGCAAGCGUUGUCCGGAAUUAUUGGGCGUAAAGCGCGCGCAGGCGGUCCUUUAAGUCUGAUGUGAAAGCCCACGGCUCAACCGUGGAGGGUCAUUGGAAACUGGGGGACUUGAGUGCAGGAGAGAAGAGUGGAAUUCCACGUGUAGCGGUGAAAUGCGUAGAGAUCGGGAGGAACACCAGUGGCGAAGGCGGCACCCUGGACCAGCACUGAUACUGAGGCACGAAAGCGUGGGGAGCAAACAGG